AUGAACGCUGGCGGCGUGCCUAAUACAUGCAAGUCGAGCGAACGGACGAGAAGCUUGCUUCUCUGAUGUUAGCGGCGGACGGGUGAGUAACACGUGGAUAACCUACCUAUAAGACUGGGAUAACUUCGGGAAACCGGAGCUAAUACCGGAUAAUAUUUUGAACCGCAUGGUUCAAAAGUGAAAGACGGUCUUGCUGUCACUUAUAGAUGGAUCCGCGCUGCAUUAGCUAGUUGGUAAGGUAACGGCUUACCAAGGCAACGAUGCAUAGCCGACCUGAGAGGGUGAUCGGCCACACUGGAACUGAGACACGGUCCAGACUCCUACGGGGGGCAGCAGUAGGGAAUCUUCCGCAAUGGGCGAAAGCCUGACGGAGCAACGCCGCGUGAGUGAUGAAGGUCUUCGGAUCGUAAAACUCUGUUAUUAGGGAAGAACAUAUGUGUAAGUAACUGUGCACAUCUUGACGGUUCCUAAUCAGAAAGCCACGGCUAACUACGUG
rnacentral:rRNA from 1 species